ensembl:lncRNA
CAGAGGCAGAUGGAUCUCUGUGAGUUCAAGGUCGGUCUACAGAGUGAGUUCCAAUCAGGACUGUUAUAUGGAGAAACCUUAUCUACGAAAACUAAAAAUACCACCCCCCAAACAAAACAGGAUAAUGAUGUUCCUGUUGUGAGGUGUUUAACUGCUUGCUUUCUCCUUUUAUAAACUUGCUUAUCGCUGUGUGACUGGGAUGAAGUGGCCUUUUUAUUAUUAUUAUACAACAAGAAAGAGAAACAACAGAGAGGAGCAAAACAACUUUCUCAACCACCUGUGGAUUCCAAAAAUAAUGGCCUGACAACUCUUCCCUGAUUGAUUUCAUCUCUUCAGUCAAAUUGAGUCCAGUUGGUUCUCUAUAAAUUCUGGCUAAAGCCCAUAGAAGACAGUAGAACCACCUCAGGAGCCAAAAGAUUCCAGAGCCUGGUUCCCAGCUCCAGCUGAACCUGGCCUCAGGGGAAGAGGCCUGAAAGAAGACUUCAGGAUCCAGUUCCCAGUCAGCUCACUCAGCAGAGAAGAAAUGCUAUGUUACCUUUAAGCCUCACGGGAAAUGCUGGUCCCUGGCAACCAACGCUUCUGCCCUGGACCGUCAGUCCCUAGGACUCAACCAAUGGCUACAGGAAGUGGGGGGGGGUGAGGGGUAGUCUCAGUCAUCCUCAGCAUCUGAGACACAAAACUUCUGCUUCAGCUGCAGACAGGAAUUAACUCCAGCAGCUGCUUCCAGCCUCCAAAAGUGAUAACAUUCCCCAAGGUUGCCUGGAGAAAUGGCAUGUGCCUUUAAUUCCAACACUGGGUAGAGGCAGAGGGCAGAGGGCAGAGGGCAGAGGGCAGAGGGCAGAGGGCAGAGAGCAGAGAGCAGAGGCAGAGGCAGAUGGAUUUAUGAAUUGGAGGACAUCCUCAUCUGAUAGUGAGUUGUAGGCCAGCCAGCUGUACAUAGUAAGACCCCUAUGUCAAAACAAACAAGCAAGCAGACAACAAUCUAACAAAAACUUCAAACAAAUCACAAAACAUUUCUCAGAGCAAACAUCUCUCAGAGCUUUCAUGGCUCCCAGAAAGCAUCCCACUGCUAACAAGAGUUCAAAUCUGUUUUAUUUAUAUCUUGUGGAGUAAUAUUCAAGUUGUUUCUACCCUGUUUAAAGUUGUUAAUCACAGAUUGAUAAAAACAUAACCCCUGUUUGUAUUUUUGAUGUCUGUGAAUGCCAACCUUGAAGUGGAAAAGAGCCAGGAUGAAGACAAGAUGGUCUCCACUGACCACUGCUAUACUAGUCUAGGAGGCAACUGAACAUUAAUUAUUUAGUUAGACAUUUUCAUUUAUGGCUCUAGUCCCUCUCCCCAGAUUCAAAUUUUUGAGCCCCUUGUAAAUUGAGUGUAAGUCUCAGCUACAAUAUGACCUCUGUCUUCAUGAAGUUUUUGACCUUUCUGGAGGAAGUGAAACAUGUAAAUAAAAAUUUAAAGUAUGAUAAAGGAAAAACAGACACUCUUUUUUGGGGAAAUAAUGCACACACAGAGAAAAGUACUGGUGAAACACCAGCUGUAUAAAGGUAAAAAGGCAGUAACAGUAACUGUGAGGUUGGUAGAACAGGAUGUCAGUAACACCACCAGGGAAAAAAAAGCAUGACAAGAAGGAGAUGAGACCAGUUUCUGUUUCAUUCAAGAAAGCACAAGUGAAUCAAUACACUCUUGCAAGAGCAAGAAUAAUCUAUAUUGUAGGCUGUAGGGCAUCUUGACUCAAUAGCUGAUUAGUCUAAAGCAGCAUUGUUAUUUUUCUCUGAAGCAAUGUCACCAGUGACACCCGAGUUUGCUUGAUGAAGAUAAAGGAAGCAAAAUAAGAGGAAAUGGAAGCAAUGCCAGAUGAAUGGAGGGGACAUCAUUUAGGAAUAACUCUUAGCCCAUUAAUUGUUGAACUGAGUCACCUCCACCUACCCAGGUGACUUUUAUCAGGCUAAUAGAUAUGAAUGUGUCUUUCUUUAGAUUGCACAAGACAAAAGGUCAUGAUUAUGAGCAUGCUACUGAAAGGUAGAAUGAGGUUUACUUUUUUUUUAAGUAAGGCACUACUGCAAUAGAUAACACAGCAAAGGA